rnacentral:piRNA from 1 species
UGAUACUUGUGCUGAGGCUGUAAAUCA